AACGCACAUUGCGCCCCUUGGUAUUCCAUGGGGCAUGCCUGUUCGAGCGUCAUUUGUACUCUCAAGCUCUGCUUGGUGUUGGGUGCUUGUCCUGUCCCCUGCGGUAGGACUCGCCUAAAAGUAAUUGGCAGCUAGGUAUCCGGUAGUAGAGCGCAGCACAAAUUGCGAUGUACGCCGGCAUAAUCAGCAUCCAUUAAGCAUAUAAACACGCUUGACCUCGGAUCAGGUAGGGAUACCCGCUGAACUUAA
rnacentral:misc_RNA from 1 species